AAUCAACGCUGGCGGCGUGCCUAACACAUGCAAGUCGAACGCGAAAGUCCCGCAAGGGAUUAGUAGAGUGGCAAACGGGUGAGUAACACGUGGGUGACCUGCCUUCGAGCGGGGGAUAACGUCCCGAAAGGGACGCUAAUACCGCAUAACAUCCUGCCUUUUAAGAGGUGGAGAUCAAAGCCGGGGAUUCGCAAGAACCUGGCACUUGAAGAGGGGCCCGCGCCUGAUUAGCUAGUUGGGGGGUAAUGGCUCACCAAGGCAACGAUCAGUAUCCGGCCUGAGAGGGCGGACGGACACACUGGGACUGAGACACGGCCCAGACUCCUACGGGAGGCAGCAGUGGGGAAUUGUUCGCAAUGGGCGCAAGCCUGACGACGCAACGCCGCGUGGAGGAUGAAGACCU
rnacentral:rRNA from 1 species